rnacentral:misc_RNA from 1 species
UUGAUCUUGGCUCAGAUUGAACGCUGGCGGGAUGCUUUACACAUGCAAGUCGAACGGCAGCACGGACUUCGGUCUGGUGGCGAAAGUGGCGAACAGGUGAGAGUAAUGUAUCGGAACGUGCCUAGUAGCGGGGGAUAACUACGCGAAAGCGUAACAGCCACAUACGCCCUUCGGGGGAAAGCGGGGGACCUUCGGGCCUCGCACUAUUAGAGCGGCCGAUAUCGGACCUUCAGUUGAUGGGGUAACGGCUCACCAAGGCGGCAAAUCGAUGCGCUGGUUUGAGAGGACGACCAGCCACGCUGGGACUGAGACAGCCCCAGACUCCUGCAGGAGGCAGCAGUGGGGAAUUUACCUGGACAAUGGGGGAAACCCUGAUCCAGCCAUCCCGCGUGUGCGAUGAAGGCCUUCGGGUUGUAAAGCACUUUUGGCAGGAAAGAAACGGCACGGGAUAAGCCCGUGCAACUGACGGUACCUGCAGAAUAAACUCCGGCUAACUACGUGCCAGCAGCCGCGGUAAUACGUAGGGUGCAAGCGUUAAUCAGAUUACUGGGCGUAAAGCGUGCGCAGGCGGUUCGGAAAGAAGAUGUGAAAUCCCAGGCUUAACUUUGGGUUUUGUUUUUAACUACCGAGCUAGAGUGUGUCAGAGGAGGUGGAGAUUCCGCGUGUAGCAGUGAAAUGCGUAGAUAUGCGGAGGAACACCGAUGGCGAAGGCAGCCUCCUGGGAUAACACUGACGCUCAUGCACGAAAGCGUGGGAGCAAAGCAGGAUUAGAUACCCUGGUAGUCCACGCCCUAAACGAUGUCAACUAGCUGUUGGGGCCUUCGGGCCUUGGUAGGCGCAGCUAACGCGUGAAGUUGACCGCCUGGGGAGUACGGUCGCAAGAUUAAAAUAAAAGGAAUUGACGGGACCCGCACAAGCGGUGGAUGAUGUGGAUUAAUUCGAUGCAACGCGAAAAACCUUACCUACCUUGACAUGUCCUGGAGAUCCGAAGAGAUUUGGGAGUGCUCGCAAAGAGAACCGGAACACAGGUACUGCAUGGCUGUCGUCAGCUCGUGUCGUGAGAUGUUGGGUUAAGUCCCGCAACGAGAGCGCAACCCUUGUCAUUAGUUGCUACGAAGGGCACUCUAAUGAGACUUUGCCGGUGACAAACCGGAGGAAGGUGGGGAUGACGUCAGUCCUCAUGGCCCUUAUGGGUAGGGCUUCACACGUCAUACAAUGGUCGGGACAGAGGGUCGCCAACCCGCGAGGGGAGCCAAUCCCAGGAAACCCGAUCGUAGUCCGGAUCGCAGUCUGCAACUCGACUGCGUGAAGUCGGAAUCUGCUAGUAAUCGCGGAUCAGCAUGUCGCGGUGAAUGCGUUGGAGUCUUGCACCGCCCGUCACACCAUGGGAGUGGGUUUUACCAAGUAGUUAGCCUAACCGUGGGGAGGCGGUCUCACGGUAGGAUUCAUGACUGGGGUGAAGUCGUAACAAGGUAACCUGUUUACCUGACCGGAUCAGGUAGUAACAAGAAGUUCGAUGCAACCAGAUUGAACGCUGGCGGGAUGCUUUACACAUGCAAGUCGAACGGCAGCACGGACUUCGGUCUGGUGGCGAGUGGCGAACGGGUGAGUAAUGUAUGGAACGUGCCUAGUAACGGGGGAUAACUACGCGAAAGCGUAGCUAAUACCGCAUACGCCCUUCGAGAAAGCAGGGGACCUUCCCGGGCCUCGCACUAUUAGAAACGACCUAUCGGAUUAGCUAGUUGGUGGGGUAACGGCUCACCAAGGCGACGAUCCGUAGCUGGUUUGAGAGGACGACCAGCCACCAGGACUGGGACCUGGCCCGGAGCUCACGGGAGGCAGCGGUGGGAAUUUUGGACAAUGGGGGAAACCUGAUCCAGCCAUCCGUGUGCGAUGAAGGCCUUCGGGUUGUAAAGCACUUUUGGCGAGAAAAACGGCACGGGAUAAUACCCCGUGCAACUGACAGUACCACCUGCAGAAUAAGCACCGGCUAACUACGUGCCAGCAGCCGCGGUAACCGUAGGGUGCAAGAGAGCGUUAAUCGGAAUUACUGGGCGUAAAGCGUGCGGGCGGUUCGGAAGAAGAUGUGAGAUCCCGAGCUUAACUUUGGAACUGCAUUUUUAACUACUGCAAGGCUAGAGUGUGUCAGAGGGGUGGAAUUCCGCGUGCAGCAGUGAAAUGCGUAGAUAUGCGGAGGAACACCGAUGGCGAGGCAGCCUCCUGGGAUAACACUGACGCUCAUGCACGAAAGCGUGGGGAGCAAACAGGAUUAGAUACCCUGGUAGUCCACGCCCUAAACGAUAAUCAACUAGCUGUUGCAGGGCCUUCGGGCCUUGGUAGCGCAGCUAACGCGUGAAGUUGACCGCCUGGGGGUACAGUCGCCAAGAUUAAAACUCAAAGGAAUUGACGGGACCGCACAAGCGGUGGAUGAUGUGGAUUAAUUCGAUGCAGCGAAAAACCUUACCUACCCUUGACAUGUCUACGAUCCGAAAGAGAUUUGGGAGUGCUCGCAAGAGAACGGAACACAGGUGCUGCAUGGCUGUCGUCAGCUCGUGUCGUGAGAUGUUGGGUUAAGUCCCGCAACGAGCGCAACCCUUGUCAUUAGUUGCUACGAAGGGCACUCUAAUGAGACUGCCGGUGACAAACCGGAGGAAGGUGGGGAUGACGUCAAGUCCUCAUGGCCCAUAUGGGUAGGGCUUCACACGUAUCCACAAUGGUCGGGACAGAGGGUCGCCAACCGCGAGGGGGGAGCCAAUCCCAGAAACCCGAUCGUAGUCCGGAUCUGCAGUCUGCAACUCGACUGCGUGAAGUCGGAAUCGCUAGUAAUCGCGGAUCAGCAUGUCGCGGUGAAUACGUUCCCGGGUCUUGUACACACCGCCCGUCACACCAUGGGAGUGGGUUUUACCGAAGUAGUUAGCCUAACCGUAAGGAGGGCGAUUACCACAUUAGGAUUCAUGACUGGGGUGGAGAUCGUAACAAGGUAG